UACGAAGGGGGGCUAGCGUUGUUCGGAAUUACUGGGCGUAAAGCGCGCGCAGGCGGUCCUUCAAGUCAGGGGUGAAAUCCUGGAGCUCAACUCCAGAACUGCCUUUGAUACUGGGGAGUCUUGAGUUCGGGAGAGGUGAGUGGAACUGCGAGUGUAGAGGUGAAAAUUCGUAGAUAUUUCGCAAGAACACCAGUGGCGAAGGCGGCUCACUGGCCCGAUACUGACGCUGAGGUGCGAAAAGCGUGGGGGAGCAAACAGGG
rnacentral:rRNA from 1 species